GAGUGGAGUGACUGGGCGCUGUCGGGCUCUGGGCUCUGAGUGUUGAGCUGGGGCCCACCAUACCCUGACGGAGGGUGCUCUCCGACUCCAUAGACAAAGAACCGGCGCUGCAAACUGCUUCCCCUGGUGAUGGCUGCCCCCCUGAGCGUCGAGCAUGGCACAGUGACCGUGGUGGGCAUCCCCCCAGAGACCGACAGCUCGGACAGGAAGAACUUUUUUGGGAGGGCGUUUGAGAAGGCAGCGGAAAGCACCAGCUCCCGGAUGCUGCACAACCAUUUUGACCUCUCAGUAAUUGAGCUGAAAGCUGAGGAUCGGAGCAAGUUUCUGGACGCACUAAUUUCCCUCCUGUCCUAGGAAUUUGAUUCUUCCGGAAUGACCUUCUUAUUUAUGUAACUGGCUUUCAUUUAGAUUGUAAGUUAUGGACAUGAUUUGAGAUGUAGAAGCCAUUUUUUAUUAAAUAAAAUGCUUA
rnacentral:sRNA from 1 species